CAUAGGUUAAUGAGGCGAACCGGGGGAACUGAAACAUCUAAGUACCCCGAGGAAAAGAAAUCAACCGAGAUUCCCCCAGUAGCGGCGAGCGAACGGGGAGCAGCCCAGAGCCUGAAUCAGUGUGUGUGUUAGUGGAAGCGUCUGGAAAGGCGCGCGAUACAGGGUGACAGCCCCGUACACAAAAAUGCACAUGCUGUGAGCUCGAUGAGUAGGGCGGGACACGUGGUAUCCUGUCUGAAUAUGGGGGGACCAUCCUCCAAGGCUAAAUACUCCUGACUGACCGAUAGUGAACCAGUACCGUGAGGGAAAGGCGAAAAGAACCCCGGCGAGGGGAGUGAAAAAGAACCUGAAACCGUGUACGUACAAGCAGUGGGAGCACGCUUAGGCGUGUGACUGCGUACCUUUUGUAUAAUGGGUCAGCGACUUAUAUUCUGUAGCAAGGUUAACCGAAUAGGGGAGCCGAAGGGAAACCGAGUCUUAACUGGGCGUUAAGUUGCAGGGUAUAGACCCGAAACCCGGUGAUCUAGCCAUGGGCAGGUUGAAGGUUGGGUAACACUAACUGGAGGACCGAACCGACUAAUGUUGAAAAAUUAGCGGAUGACUUGUGGCUGGGGGUGAAAGGCCAAUCAAACCGGGAGAUAGCUGGUUCUCCCCGAAAGCUAUUUAGGUAGCGCCUCGUGAAUUCAUCUCCGGGGGUAGAGCACUGUUUCGGCAAGGGGGUCAUCCCGACUUACCAACCCGAUGCAAACUGCGAAUACCGGAGAAUGUUAUCACGGGAGACACACGGCGGGUGCUAACGUCCGUCGUGAAGAGGGAAACAACCCAGACCGCCAGCUAAGGUCCCAAAGUCAUGGUUAAGUGGGAAACGAUGUGGGAAGGCCCAGACAGCCAGGAUGUUGGCUUAGAAGCAGCCAUCAUUUAAAGAAAGCGUAAUAGCUCACUGGUCGAGUCGGCCUGCGCGGAAGAUGUAACGGGGCUAAACCAUGCACCGAAGCUGCGGCAGCGACGCUUAUGCGUUGUUGGGUAGGGGAGCGUUCUGUAAGCCUGCGAAGGUGUGCUGUGAGGCAUGCUGGAGGUAUCAGAAGUGCGAAUGCUGACAUAAGUAACGAUAAAGCGGGUGAAAAGCCCGCUCGCCGGAAGACCAAGGGUUCCUGUCCAACGUUAAUCGGGGCAGGGUGAGUCGACCCCUAAGGCGAGGCCGAAAGGCGUAGUCGAUGGGAAACAGGUUAAUAUUCCUGUACUUGGUGUUACUGCGAAGGGGGGACGGAGAAGGCUAUGUUGGCCGGGCGACGGUUGUCCCGGUUUAAGCGUGUAGGCUGGUUUUCCAGGCAAAUCCGGAAAAUCAAGGCUGAGGCGUGAUGACGAGGCACUACGGUGCUGAAGCAACAAAUGCCCUGCUUCCAGGAAAAGCCUCUAAGCAUCAGGUAACAUCAAAUCGUACCCCAAACCGACACAGGUGGUCAGGUAGAGAAUACCAAGGCGCUUGAGAGAACUCGGGUGAAGGAACUAGGCAAAAUGGUGCCGUAACUUCGGGAGAAGGCACGCUGAUACGUAGGUGAAGUCCCUCGCGGAUGGAGCUGAAAUCAGUCGAAGAUACCAGCUGGCUGCAACUGUUUAUUAAAAACACAGCACUGUGCAAACACGAAAGUGGACGUAUACGGUGUGACGCCUGCCCGGUGCCGGAAGGUUAAUUGAUGGGGUCAGCGCAAGCGAAGCUCUUGAUCGAAGCCCCGGUAAACGGCGGCCGUAACUAUAACGGUCCUAAGGUAGCGAAAUUCCUUGUCGGGUAAGUUCCGACCUGCACGAAUGGCGUAAUGAUGGCCAGGCUGUCUCCACCCGAGACUCAGUGAAAUUGAACUCGCUGUGAAGAUGCAGUGUACCCGCGGCAAGACGGAAAGACCCCGUGAACCUUUACUAUAGCUUGACACUGAACAUUGAGCCUUGAUGUGUAGGAUAGGUGGGAGGCUUUGAAGUGUGGACGCCAGUCUGCAUGGAGCCGACCUUGAAAUACCACCCUUUAAUGUUUGAUGUUCUAAC
rnacentral:rRNA from 1 species